UACGGGGGGGGCAAGCGUUGUUCGGAAUUACUGGGCGUAAAGGGCUCGUAGGUGGCCAACUAAGUCAGACGUGAAAUCCCUCGGCUUAACCGGGGAACUGCAUCUGAUACUGGAUGGCUUGAGUUUGGGAGAGGGAUGCGGAAUUCCAGGUGUAGCGGUGAAAUGCGUAGAUAUCUGGAGGAAUACCGGUGGCGAAGGCGGCAUCCUGGACCGGCAUUGACGCUGAUGAGCGAAAGCUAGGGGAGCAAACGGG
rnacentral:rRNA from 1 species